rnacentral:lncRNA from 1 species
GCCUUUAAUACAGAGAUUUUUGUUAUAAAAUUUGAAACAUAAAUUACUCACUUGAUUUUCUAUGAUGUGCUAGUGUUUAUUUUUUACAAAAAGUUCUAAGUAACCAGUAAAUUCCAAAACACCUCGUGCUGAGUCACUAAAGUCGAGCGCACCCUAAAAGGUGUACUUGAUUUUGGCCAUAUUUAUACUUGUCUUAACUAAUAACUACAUUUAUAAACUUGUUUUAAGGAAAUCAAUGCUAGCACUGCAUGCAAUAAUCCUAUAUCUAUCAGUCAUCAAAUUGCCAAAUAUGAGAAUACAAGGAUAAAGGCUGUG